rnacentral:misc_RNA from 1 species
GAUGAAGAACGUAGCGAAAUGCGAUAAGUAAUGCGAAUUGCAGAAUUCCAGUGAGUCAUCGAGUCUUUGAACGCACAUUGCGCCCACUAGUAUUCUGGUGGGCAUGCCUGUUCGAGCGUCAUUUCAACCCUCAAGCCUUAGUUGCUUGGUGUUGGGAGCUUAUCUUGCCGAAAGGCGGACAACUCCUUAAAACUAUUGGCGGAGUCGCGGUGACCCCAAGCGUAGUAAAUCUUUUUUUUCUCGCUUUAGGUGUUAACGCUGGCUUUCUAGCCGUUAAACCCUCUAAAUUUUUAGUGGUUGACCUCGGAUCAGGUAGGACUACCCGCUGAACUUAAGCAUAUCAAUAAGCGGAGGA